AACGCGAAGAACCUUACCUGGGCUCGAACGGCUUAAGAACAUCUUUGGAAACAGAGACUUCCCGCAAGGGACUUGAGUCGAGGUGCUGCAUGGCUGUCGUCAGCUCGUGUCGUGAGAUGUUGGGUUAAGUCCCGCAACGAGCGCAACCCUUAUCUUCAGUUGCUACCAUUUAGUUGAGCACUCUGACGAAACCGCCUCGGAUAACGGGGAGGAAGGUGGGGAUGACGUCAAGUCCUCAUGGCCUUUAUGUCCAGGGCUACACACGUGCUACAAUGGCCGGUACAAACCGCUGCAAACCCGCGAGGGGGAGCUAAUCGGAAAAAGCCGGCCUCAGUUCGGAUUGGAGUCUGCAACUCGACUCCAUGAAGCUGGAAUCGCUAGUAAUCGUGGAUCAGCAUGCCACGGUGAAUACGUUCCCGGGCCUUGUACACACCGAUAGC
rnacentral:rRNA from 1 species